rnacentral:lncRNA from 1 species
UUUUAACCUAAUAUUUUCCCCAAACUACAAGAUAAUGUCAUAAAUAUUGUGAUAAAUAAUGUGAUGUAUAUGAGAUAGUUAAAGAAAUUUUUUAGUGGGUAAUAAAAAGACAUAAAGAAUCAUGGAAAAUUUUGACAAUCAUAUCUGUAAUUUGUUCUAAUUUGUAGACGGAAAGUAUAAUAGGUUUCUGUUUGGUUGUGAUGUACUCA